rnacentral:rRNA from 1 species
GGUUGAUCCUGCCAGUAGUCAUAUGCUCAGCUCAAAGAUUAAGCCAUGCAUGUCUAGGUAUAAGGCGGCCUUGGCCCCGAAACCGCGAACGGCUCAUUACACCAGUUACAAUUCGCUUGACCGUCCUUCUUAGUCGGAUAACACUGGGAAUCUAGUGCUAAUACGUGCCCCAACCGGCACCGGCGCCUCGCCCCCGGGCGUGGUGUGGGUGCCGCGCGCCUAUUAGAUACAAAGGCCAGCGCGGGUGGCGGCGACGCCUCCCGCUGUGGUGAUUCAGAGUAGGCAGCAGACC